ensembl:misc_RNA 7SK 7SK RNA
GGAUGUGAGGGUGAUCCAGCUGUGACAUCUGACACCCUGUUGAUUGCCAGUGUUGAUUUGGCUGGUCUGACUGGCUACGUGGUUGUCCCCUUCCUCCCUUGAUGCCCUAUGUGUGUCCCUCUUGAAGUCGCAUGCUCUUCAAAGAGGAUGACCUUCCUCGCUAGAGGAGUAUCACUUUUUGGUCAAGGGCAAAGGAGUAGCUGUGAUCCCCUGCUAGAACCUCUGAACAAGCUCUCAAUGUCCAUUGGUAGGAGAACAUGGAAGAUGUGGUCAGAUAAAGUGUAUGGUAUUUGAAUAUGGUUCACCCUGUCUUUC